UACAUGCAAGUNGAACGAGAAACCCUGACUUCGGUUGGGGCGGUAAAGUGGCGAACGGGUGAGUAACACGUGGAUAAUCUACCUCAUAGUCUGGGAUACUCCUUCGAAAGAGGGCUUAAUACCGGAUAAUAUCUUCUGAUGGCAUCAUCGGAAAAUCAAAGGCGGGGUAACCUGCCGCUAAGAGAUGAGUCCGCGCUCCAUUAGCUUGUUGGUGAGGUAAAGGCUCACCAAGGCUGCGAUGGAUAGCCGGCCUGAGAGGGUGAACGGCCACACUGGGACUGAGAUACGGCCCAGACUCCUACGGGAGGCAGCAGUAGGGAAUAUUGCGCAAUGGACGAAAGUCUGACGCAGCAACGCCGCGUGGGUGAUGACGCAUUUUGGUGUGUAAAGCCCAGUUAGGAGGGAAGAACCACAUUGGUAGUAACUGACCAGUGUCUGACGGUACCUCCAGAGAAAGCACCGGCUAACUCCGUGCCAGCAGCCGCGGUAAUACGGGGGGUGCAAGCGUUGUUCGGAUUUACUGGGCGUAAAGGGCGCGUAGGCGGACUUGUAAGUCAGAUGUGAAAACUAUCGGCUCAACCGGUAGCCUGCAUUUGAAACUGCAAGUCUUGAGUACAGGAGAGGAAAGCGGAAUUCCAGGUGUAGCGGUGAAAUGCGUAGAUAUCUGGAAGAACACCAGUUGCGAAGGCGGCUUUCUGGACUGAUACUGACGCUAAAGCGCGAAGGCUUGGGUAGCAAACAGGAUUAGAUACCCUGGUAGUCCAAGCGGUAAACGAUGGGUACUAGGUGUCAGGGGUCUCGACCCCCUUGGUGCCGCAGCUAACGCAUUAAGUACCCCGCCUGGGGAGUAUGAUCGCAAGAUUGAAACUCAAAUGAAUUGACGG
rnacentral:rRNA from 1 species